GAGGGUAUAGCUCAGUGGUAGAGCACAUGCCUGGCAUGCGUGAGGUCCUGAGUUUGAUCCCCAGUGCUAUAA
rnacentral:tRNA from 1 species